UUUCAGGAUGAUGCCCCAGUCCUUCUCCAAAGUUUGGCGACCCUCUUAUGUGAAUACAAAUUUGCAAAGGCAAAUAAUAAUGCAGCCCUGUUUCAGGCUUUCCUGCAAAAAGUGAAUGUACUUCUGGGAAAAGUUGGCUGCACCAUUGAUAAUAUUAUUGGCACAAAUGUGGUAGUUACACUUAACAAUGCAGAGGAGAUUGGAGACCAAGUUGCACAAGUUUUAUUCCAGUUUGUGAAUGGCAUCAUUGCAAAAGUGGUUAAAAUUCUGGAUUACAUUCCAUUCCUGAG